rnacentral:rRNA from 1 species
CCUACGGGAGGCAGCAGUGGGGAAUAUUGCUCAAUGGGGGAAACCCUGAAGCAGCGACGCCGCGUGAGUGAUGAAGGAUCUCGGUAUGUAAAGCCCUUUCAGUAGGGAAGAAAAUGACGGUACCUGACUAAUAAGCCCCGGCUAACUACGUGCCAGCAGCCGCGGUAAUACGUAGGGAGCAAGCGUUAUCCGGAUUUACUGGGUGUAAAGGGAGCGUAGUCGGCAUAGCAAGUCUGAGGUGAAAGCCUGUGGCUCAACCAUAGAACUGCUUUUGAAACUGUGCGGCUGGAGUGUGGGAGAGGUAAGCGGAAUUCGUGGUGUAGCGGUGAAAUGCGUAGAUAUUAGGAGGAACACCGGUGGCGAAGGCGGCUUACUGGACAGUAACUGACGCUGAUGCUCGAAAGCGUGGGGAGCAAACAGGAUUAGAUACCCGAGUAGUC